CCGGCACGGGUGAGUAACACGUAUCCAACCUGCCGUCUACUCUUGGACAGCCUUCUGAAAGGAAGAUUAAUACAAGAUGGUAUCAUGAGUCCGCAUGUUCACAUGAUUAAAGGUAUUCCGGUAGACGAUGGGGAUGCGUUCCAUUAGAUAGUAGGCGGGGUAACGGCCCACCUAGUCUUCGAUGGAUAGGGGUUCUGAGAGGAAGGUCCCCCACAUUGGAACUGAGACACGGUCCAA
rnacentral:rRNA from 1 species